CUUCGGGCCUCUUGCCAUCGGAUGUGCCCAGAUGGGAUUAGCUAGUAGGUGGGGUAACGGCUCACCUAGGCGACGAUCCCUAGCUGGUCUGAGAGGAUGACCAGCCACACUGGAACUGAGACACGGUCCAGACUCCUACGGGAGGCAGCAGUGGGGAAUAUUGCACAAUGGGCGCAAGCCUGAUGCAGCCAUGCCGCGUGUAUGAAGAAGGCCUUCGGGUUGUAAAGUACUUUCAGCGGGGAGGAAGGCGAUAAGGUUAAUAACCUUGUCGAUUGACGUUACCCGCAGAAGAAGCACCGGCUAACUCCGUGCCAGCAGCCGCGGUAAUACGGAGGGUGCAAGCGUUAAUCGGAAUUACUGGGCGUAAAGCGCACGCAGGCGGUCUGUCAAGUCGGAUGUGAAAUCCCCGGGCUCGACCUGGGAACUGCAUUCGAAACUGGCAGGCUACAGUCUUGUAGAGGGGGGUAGAAUUCCAGGUGUAGCGGUGAAAUGCGUACAGAUCUGGAGGAAUACCGGGGGCGAAAGCGGCCCCCUGGACAAAGACUGACGCUCAGGAGCCGAAGACCGUGGGUAGCAAGCAGGGAUUAGAUACCCCUGGGGAUCCACACCGUAACUUAUGUCGACUAUGAAGGAUGAGCCCCUUGAAGCCGUGUGCUUCCCGGAGGUUAAACGCGGUUUAGAUCGAACCGCCUUGGGGGAG
rnacentral:rRNA from 1 species